CUAUGGGAACGCGGGUGGCCGCGGCUGGAAGAGGCACUUCUCCGUUUGUAAAACUGCUGAGCUGGCAGUGACUUGUCUCGUGCUUUGUCCUGCGUAGGGAAUGGCUCGCGGCAACGCAGCGCGUGUGCACCGCGGAGCUCCUGGUGCGUGGCUGCUCCUGGCUACACCAGCUGCCCUGGCACCGGAGGGAACGGGCCCCUUCACCAACGUGUGUUGUGGGUUAAAGCCCUCAGAAUACUGUGGGUGCGUGGAAUGCGUGAGGCUUUACCUAUUGCCAGCAGCACGUAGCCCUGUUAUGCUGUUAGUCUUUCCUUCCAUCUUCACGGAGGUAGCUGAGAACAUUCACGUCAUGCUGUUUUCUUCCUCCUUCCUCAGAGAAGGGUUUGCUCACGUGCUUUGUUUUGGCAAUUGGCAUUAUUUCCUUCGGUGUACGCAUUUAUGUAUGUUUAUGUAGAAGUAAGUGUCUACAAAUAUAGUGAGCUCGUGCAGAGUUCAUGGUGGUGAGACUUGCUUAGCUCUGUGCCCUAACCCCGUCUCCUGCCCAGAUGAGCGCUGUGCUCCUGGCUGUGUCUUGAACGUGAGGAACAGAGCUGUCAUCCAGAAAUGCUGUGCUGAGGUCAACAGGAAGGGGGCCCAAGACCUGAGGUUUUACUCAGCAGUCUCCGAGGACGCAAAGCAGAAAGCAGAGACAGAUGUCUGAUAGGGAUUGAAUGUGGGAUGGAAGUAUGCAGUGGUCACUGAUGAAAAGUAUAUUUGCUCCCAGGUAGAAUACAGAGAUACUCAUACAUGCUUUUCAGAGAGAUGAGAAACAGCAGUUCUGGAGCAACUGUCAGCAGCUCUGUUAGCAACUGCCACCGUGCUAGUAACUACCAUUUAUUAUACUACUACUACACUGCAUGACAUUUAUUAAAACAAUUAUUAAGACAGAGGCAUUAACUACAUUUAUACUUGCAUCCUCUAAGCAUCUUGCUUUAUAACACCCACCCUACCAAAAAUCAUUGUUCUGACUUGAGAUUCAUUGAGGAAGACAGUUCCUCCAUCAAGUGGUAAGGAAUGUUACAGUGCUGGCUCUGAGUGUAGAUGGAUCUAAUUCGGCUGUUUUUGAAAUGUAUGAUUCCCUAAAUAUGUUUAACCUUCUGUCUGACAUGUUGCCCUUACUGCAAGGAAAAUUUAUCAUUUCCAUAUUUUUUUAUAAAUAGGAUGAAGAUGUUAAUAGUUGCUAAAUUUACAGCAUAAAAGCCCAACCAUUCUAUUUCUUUUACCAUCCCUCUUGAAUCAGCAGGCUCCUGGAGCCCUUUGUCCAUAGCUUCUAAAGAAAUAAGUCCAAAAUUUUAAUUUCACUUCCCACUGCAAGUGUUAUCUUAGUUGUUGAGUAAGACCCAGUCUCCCUGCAGGAAGCUGUUAGUAAUUCUAAUUUGAUGAAGCCUUCAUUUUCAACAGUAAUUAUAAUUAUCACCCAGUGUCUACUCACUCUCUUUCUUAGCAGGGGGGAAUAAUGGUACUGAUGGGAAUGAGAGCUCUCUUCCCUUCUCAUUGAGCAUAACUAUCCUUCUUUUUUCUUUGUUUAUAUCAAACUUUUCAAAGCAUCACAGCAUAGAAAUGCCAGUGGACAGCUACCAUCGUAAUUACCUGAUGUACAUUAUUUCUGCAAUCUACACUGGUAAUACACACACUUCCAAAAGAAAUUCUAAAUGGACUUGGAAUUGUGAGGCUGUUGGUAAUCAUACUCUGGUAAAGUCUGCAGCAGUGACUUGCAACAUGUGCAGAUAGUGCAGCAUGGAAGCAGAACAUGGAUCCAGCAUGAAUUCUAUAACAAGGAUCUCAAGAUGUCAGUGUCUGUUUUGCUGCUGGGACAGAAGGAUGUCACAAGCAGGAAACUCAAAGUCCACUUGCAGAUUGAGGCAGACUCUCCAUGACUUUCUGUUGACAGAAGGAAGGACUGAACUCCUUGAUGGCACCUAAGAGAAGGUUGAAAGAAGGUGAUUAAGAAGAUCACAGCUAUAGGACACCUGUACUUCUGUGAGCUUUGGUGUUUUUAGUAACAGCGGACCAUCCUGUGAUCUACAAAACAAAACUGCAAUAACGCCAAUUCUCACUUUUGAUCCUCCUCACUGUCCAGUUCCAAAAUCACUGACUUAGCUUGUGGAACUUGAAGAGCAACUCAGUCCUUGCCCUGACAAGAAAUAGUCACCUCAGCAAACCUCAAGAUUUCCCCAGUCUCCCUAGGGAAAGCUGCCAACGCUCCUGAAUUGGCUGAAUGUUCUCUGCCUUCUUCAGCACUGCACUAAAAAGCACAGAGCAGGAGGGUCGGAACCAUUCCUAAACUCAGCCAAAUAUUGUGAAGAAGGCUGGUCAGGUCAUCUUAAUGAACACAGAUCUUUCCUGAGUGUCACUGAGGUGCUUCUAGAAAAAAAUUAAAAAAAAAAACACAGAGAAUUUUUACAUGUAGAAAUGGCUAAUAUGGAUUGAAUAGAGAUAGGAAUAAAGAUCACUUUCAUGUUUGCUUGACAUGUUUUUCCUCAUCUAAGUAAAAUAUACUCUAAAUGAGAUUAUUUUGUGUUUAAAUCUUGUCUUGUCACCCAGCACCAGAGGACAGGCAGGCUCUUGGCAGAAUGAGAACUGGCCACACGGUUGUGGUUAGAAACAGA